GCCACGCCCGCUCAAGAACUACGAAAGGUAAUUGACGGGGGCCCGCACAAGCGGUGGAGUAUGUGGUUUAAUUCGAUGCAACGCGAAGAACCUUACCUGGUCUUGACAUCCCGGAGACCCUUAGGAAACUAGGGGGUGCUUCCAUCUGGAAGAAUCUGGAGACAGGUGCUGCAUGGCUGUCGUCAGCUCGUGUCGUGAGAUGUUGGGUUAAGUCCCGCAACGAGCGCAACCCUUGCCUUUAGUUGCCAGCAGUUCGGCUGGGCACUCUAAAGGGACUGCCGGUGUUAAACCGGAGGAAGGUGGGGAUGACGUCAAGUCCUCAUGGCCUUUAUGACCAGGGCUACACACGUACUACAAUGGCCGAUACAAAGGGCAGCGACACUGCGAGGUGAAGCCAAUCCCGUAAAAUCGGUCUCAGUCCGGAUUGGAGUCUGCAACUCGACUCCAUGAAGUUGGAAUCGCUAGUAAUCGUGGAUCAGCAUGCCACGGUGAAUACGUUCCCGGGCCUU
rnacentral:rRNA from 1 species